rnacentral:snRNA from 1 species
UGUUGAGCCGUCACACGGA